ACCAGGUCUCAGGAGAUGGCGUUAGUUUCAGGAGGAAGGUCGACACUGAAUCCGAAUGCACCUCUUUUCAUCCCGUCUUAUGUGCGUCAAGUGGAGGACUUUUCACCCGAAUGGUGGAAUUUGGUGACAACUUCGACAUGGUUCCAUGAUUAUUGGACGAGGCAGCAUCAAGGAGAGGAAUAUGGCGAUGAUGCUUUUGGUUUUACUGGGAAUGAUGUUGCUGACUUGCUUCCCGAAAAUAUCGAUCUUGAUGUUGAUGAAGAUAUUUUGAACAUGGAAGCUCAGUUUGAAGAAUUCCUCCAAUCAUCUGAAAGUGAACAACAAGGAAUCAAGUCAUCACCCUAUGGUAUCAGUGGUAUGCUUCUAUUUGGUAUAUAUCUCCAUUAUCUUACAAUUAUAGUCAUGAUAGUGAUAGAGCCACAAAUUUAUACUAGGGGAUUCAAAAGUAUACUGACCAAGGGUUCGGAGGCACUCGUAAGGACACUGAGCAUAUCAAAGGGGCCAAAAUCUCCCAUUGAGCCACCAAAGUACUAUGAGAAACCAGCAAAGAUUGUUAGCCCAAAGAACAGCCUUCGCCGCAUCCAGCAACCUCGCACGAUGAGACCUGGU
rnacentral:sRNA from 1 species